GAAUACAAUGCCAACAAGAUUUGCUAAGACAAUUUAUGUUUUAAACUAGAGAAAGGAAAAAGAAACAAAUUAAACAAGGGUGGACUUCAAUUUGGCCCACACAAUGUUAUAAUUAUUGAGAUACAACAACUAGUUCAACACAUAUGAGACUUGUGUUUGGCCAUUCGCAUAAGGUGGUCCCUGUGAGCAAGGUUGGUCAAUAAUUACUUUU
rnacentral:lncRNA from 1 species